AGAGUUUGAUCAUGGCUCAGGACGAUACGCUGGCGGCGUGCCUAAUACAUGCAAGUCGAGCGGACCGAACGAGAGCUUGCUCUUGUUCGGUCAGCGGCGGACGGGUGAGUAACACGUGGGCAACCUGCCCGCAAGACCGGGAUAACUCCGGGAAACCGGAGCUAAUACCGGAUAACACCAAAGACCGCAUGGUCUUUGGUUGAAAGGCGGCUUCGGCUGUCACUUGCGGAUGGGCCCGCGGCGCAUUAGCUAGUUGGUGAGGUAACGGCUCACCAAGGCGACGAUGCGUAGCCGGCCUGAGAGGGUGACCGGCCACACUGGGACUGAGACACGGCCCAGACUCCUACGGGAGGCAGCAGUAGGGAAUCUUCCGCAAUGGACGAAAGUCUGACGGAGCGACGCCGCGUGAGCGAAGAAGGCCUUCGGGUCGUAAAGCUCUGUUGUGAGGGACGAAGGAGCGCCGUU
rnacentral:rRNA from 1 species